rnacentral:rRNA from 1 species
UUGACCUCAAAUCGGGUGAGACUACC